rnacentral:rRNA from 1 species
GACAGAGGGGGCAAGCGUUGCUCGGAAUCACUGGGCGUAAAGGGCGCGUAGGCGGGAUGGCAAGUCGGUCGUGAAAUCCCUGGGCUCAACCCAGGAACUGCGUCCGAUACUGGGAGGCUUGAAUCCGGGAGAGGGAUGCGGAAUUCCAGGUGUAGCGGUGAAAUGCGUAGAUAUCUGGAGGAACACCGGUGGCGAAGGCGGCAUCCUGGACCGGCAUUGACGCUGAGGCGCGAAAGCCAGGGGAGCAAGCGGG